rnacentral:rRNA from 1 species
UACGUAGGUGGCAAGCGUUAUCCGGAAUUACUGGGCGUAAAGCGCACGCAGGCGGUCUUUUAAGUUUGACGUGAAAGCUCCCGGCUUAACUGGGAGAGGUCGUUGAAGACUGGAAGACUUGAGGCAAUGAGAGGGUGUAGAAUUCCCGGUGUAGUGGUGGAAUGCGUAGAUAUCGGGGGGAAUACCAGUGGCGAAAGCGGCACCCUAGCGUUAGCCUGACGCUCAUGUGCGAAAGCGUGGGGAGCGAACGGG